rnacentral:rRNA from 1 species
CGCGUGAGGAACCUGCCUCAAAGAGGGGGACAACAGUUGGAAACGACUGCUAAUACCGCAUAAGCCCACGGGUCGGCAUCGACCAGAGGGAAAAGGAGCAAUCCGCUUUGAGAUGGCCUCGCGUCCGAUUAGCUAGUUGGUGAGGUAACGGCCCACCAAGGCAACGAUCGGUAGCCGGACUGAGAGGUUGAACGGCCACAUUGGGACUGAGACACGGCCCAGACUCCUACGGGAGGCAGCAGUGGGGAAUAUUGCACAAUGGGGGAAACCCUGAUGCAGCGACGCCGCGUGGAGGAAGAAGGUCUUCGGAUUGUAAACUCCUGUUGUUGGGGAAGAUAAUGACGGUACCCAACAAGGAAGUGACGGCUAACUACGUG